CAGUAGCCGCGGGAAAACGGAGGGAGCUAGCGUUGUUCGGAAUUACUGGGCGUAAAGCGCACGUAGGCGGCUACUCAAGUCGGGGGUGAAAGCCCGGGGCUCAACCCCGGAACUGCCCUCGAAACUAGGUAGCUAGAAUCUUGGAGAGGUCAGUGGAAUUCCGAGUGUAGAGGUGAAAUUCGUAGAUAUUCGGAAGAACACCAGUGGCGAAGGCGACUGACUGGACAAGUAUUGACGCUGAGGUGCGAAAGCGUGGGGAGCAAACAGGAUUAGAGACCCCGGUAGUCCCUGUCUCUUAUAC
rnacentral:rRNA from 1 species